AGAUUGAACGCUGGCGGCGUGCCUAACACAUGCAAGUCGAGCGGUAACGCGGGAGCAAUCCUGGCGACGAGCGGCGAACGGGUGAGUAAUACUUCGGAAUCUACCCACGGGUGGGGAAUAACCAGCCGAAAGGUUGGCUAAUACCAGAUGCCCUCCUCUGAUCGCAUGAUCGGUUGAGGAAAGUUUUUCGCUUCGGGAGGGGCUCGCGGCCUAUCAGCUUGUUGGUGAGGUAACGGCUCACCAAGGCUUCGACGGGUAGCUGGUCUGAGAGGACGAUCAGCCACACUGGGACUGAGACACGGCCCAGACUCCUACGGGAGGCAGC
rnacentral:rRNA from 1 species